AUGUGGGCUGCUGUGUGCACAUACAUGUCACUAAGCACAGGAUGUGGCUGUGAAAUCCAGUCACCACCUAAGAAUAUGUCCCCCAAGAGAGCAUUUCUGUCUAAGCAGUCACGUUGCAGCAGGUAUCUUUGCUUUGGAGAUGCACCUUUGGGAACAUCUUUCCUCCUAGUUGGGCCCACCCUCGGGAAUACCUCAGUGACAGUAGAUGUCGUCAUCUCAGAGUAUGUUUGCACCAUAGAAACAGGCAGUUGGUAUUUGAAGUUUGCAUGCAUGUUCGGUUGCUUCAGUUGUAUCCGACUCUUUGUGACCCCAAGGACUGUAGCACGCCAGGCUCCUCUCUCUAUGAGAUUCUCCAGGCAAGAAUACUGGAGUGAGUUGCCAUGCCCUCCUCCAGGGAAUCUUCACGACCCAGGGAUCGAACCCAGGUCUCCUGCGUCUCCUGCAUUGCAGGCACACUCUUUACUGCUGAGCCACCAGGGAAGCCCAUUUCAAGUUAGUCUUGUGAAUAGAUUUGGGCCAUUCAUCCACAGGGUGAUUUUUUUGAAUGGAGAUUGUGGAAGCAUAGGAGGUGGUAACAGGAACCAAAAAUGUCCCUGGUGGCCUCCAACAUUGAAUGAGGGCUGGCAAAGAGACAGAUUUGCCUUCUGCUUCAGGAGGAACACAGCCUUGGGGCAGUGGGCAGGGCUUCUGGAUCUUUGCCUCCAGCCCCAUUUCCGAGCCAAGCUUGAGGGCCAGUCCUCCCUGGAGGAGAGCAACAACCCAAUGACCUUUCCUUCUCUCCACUCUGCAGUUAUAUUUGCCACGGAGGAACUCUCAACAGUGAACCCAAUAGAAGGUAACAUUUGUUAUGUGGGAUCCUUGUGGGCUCAUUCCCCUGCUGCACCCGGAGGUCUAUAUCUGGUACAGAAGAGGUGCAGAAGGCAUAAGGGAUGGGGUUGCUUAGCUCUCAAACAGGGAGGUCCUCUGAACAAGGCCUCACUGAAUGGGUGUCUCUUCCACGGAUCUUGA
rnacentral:lncRNA from 1 species